rnacentral:rRNA from 1 species
AAGACCUUGUGCUUUUGGAGCGGCCGAUGCCUGAUUAGCUAGUUGGUAGGGUAAAGGCCUACCGAGGCUACGAUCAGUAGUUGGUCUGAGAGGACGACCAGCCACACUGGGACUGAGACACGGCCCAGACUCCUACGGGAGGCAGCAGUGGGGAAUUUUGGACAAUGGGCGAAAGCCUGAUCCAGCAAUGCCGCGUGAGUGAAGAAGGCCUUCGGGUUGUAAAGCUCUUUCAGUCGAGAAGAAAGAGUUGUGACUAAUAAUCACAAUUUAUGACGGUACCGACAGAAGAAGCACCGGCUAACUACGUGCCAGCAGCCGCGGUAAUACGUAGGGUGCAAGCGUUAAUCGGAAUUACUGGGCGUAAAGGGUGCGCAGGCGGCUCUGUAAGUCAGAUGUGAAAUCCCCGGGCUUAACCUGGGAAUU